CUUCCUCCUGUCGCCUGAGCAGCCAGCCACAGACUCCACCCUCCUAUCUCCUCGUCUCGUGCAUCAGAACCACUUGGAAGGCUUGUCACACGCUGCUGUGCUUCACACCCAGGAACUCUGGAUUUGGGAAGUCUGGAGUGGAGCCUGAGAAUCUGCAUCUGUAAGAGGUUCUCAGAUUUGGAGGCGACUGGAGGCAACUUGGAGGGAACAUGGGUUGGGGCUGGCGAGCUAGAGUGGGUACCAGCGUCCUACAGAUUGCUUGUGAGAAACCUUCCUCUUGGUGGAGAGAAAAGCAAGAGAGAAAGGGCCCGAACUGUAGCAAUAAGG